GCAGCCGCGGUAAUACGUAGGUGGCAAGCGUUGUCCGGAUUUACUGGGUGUAAAGGGCGUGCAGCCGGGUCUGCAAGUCAGAUGUGAAAUCCACGGGCUCAACUCGUGAACUGCAUUUGAAACUGUAGAUCUUGAGUGUCGGAGAGGUAAUCGGAAUUCCUUGUGUAGCGGUGAAAUGCGUAGAUAUAAGGAAGAACACCAGUGGCGAAGGCGGAUUACUGGACGAUAACUGACGGUGAGGCGCGAAAGCGUGGGGAGCAAACAGGAUUAGAUACCCC
rnacentral:rRNA from 1 species